GAUGAACGCUGGCGGCGUGCCUAACACAUGCAAGUCGAACGGACGAGAAGAGCUUGCUCUUCGAGUUAGUGGCGGACGGGUGAGUAACGCGUGAGCAACCUGCCUUUCAGAGGGGGAUAACAUCGGGAAACCGGUGCUAAUACCGCAUGAUGUGCGAGAACCGCAUGAUUUUCGUACCAAAGGAGCAAUCCGCUGAAAGAUGGGCUCGCGUCUGAUUAGAUAGUUGGUGAGGUAACGGCCCACCAAGUCGACGAUCAGUAGCCGGACUGAGAGGUUGAACGGCCACAUUGGAACUGAGAUACGGUCCAG
rnacentral:rRNA from 1 species